rfam:Myotis davidii contig90923, whole genome shotgun sequence.
GCUGGUGUGGCUCAGUGGAUAGAGCGUCGGUCUGCAGACCGAAGGGUCCCAGGUUCGAUUCCUGGUCAAGGGCA